AAAUGAUUGUUCUAACAACAUCAGUUUUGUGUUCUUCAUAUAAUCUAUCUCAGAUUGCUCUGUGUUUUGCAGGUCUCGAGGUCAAGCCUGGACCCACUGUCAAGUGUGUGCUUGGACAUGACUUUAUCCUGCACUUUCCAGUGCUGCACUUAGGGAAUCAAAGAAAAGUGAAAGUGCCAUGUCAAAGUUGAUGACCAGAAGCUUGCUAUUGGAACCCUCUCUAUUGAAAAAUACCCCUAGAUAGAAAUUGAUUUG